UCCCCGUUACCGGGGCAGUCUGAAUAGAAAAAUCCAACUAUUCAUAAGGGUUGCGCUCGUUGAUGGACUUAACCAAACAUCUCACGACACGAGCUGAAGACGGCCAUGCAACACCUGUCACCGAGUUCCCCUCACAACACACGAACUUUCCGUAUACCAUGUAUACGAUUCGUGUAUUCUGAGGGGCACUCAAUCCUUUCGGAUUGAUUCUCGGGAUGUCAAGUCCUGGUAAGGUUCUUCGCUUAACAUCGAAUUAAACAACACGCUCCACCGCUUGUGCGGGUCCCCGUCUAUUCCUUUGAGUUUUAAUCUUGCGACCGUACUCCCCAGGCGGGAUGCUUAACGCGUUAGCUUCGUUACUGACCGGGUCGAUACGGCCAACAACUAGCAUCCAUAGUUU
rnacentral:misc_RNA from 1 species